rnacentral:snoRNA from 1 species
GUCCACGUUACCAUGGAAGCUGUGUUGCCAGUGACAGUCUCCCUUCCUAGGCGUGGCACAGUAUCUCCUUGUUCUGACAAAC